UACGUAGGGUGCAAGCGUUAAUCGGAAUUACUGGGCGUAAAGCGUGCGCAGGCGGUUUUGUAAGUCAGAUGUGAAAUCCCCGGGCUUAACCUGGGAACUGCAUUGGUGACUGGCAGGCUUUGAGUGUGGCAGAGGGAGGUAGAAUUCCACGUGUAGCAGUGAAAUGCGUAGAGAUGUGGAGGAACACCAGUGGCGAAGGCGGCUUUCUGGUCUGUAACUGACGCUGAGGCGCGAAAGCGUGGGGAGCAAACAGG
rnacentral:rRNA from 1 species